AGUUUGAUCCUGGCUCAGGACGAACGCUGGCGGCGUGCGUAAUACAUGCMAGUAGAACGCUGAGGACUGGUGCUUGCACUGGUCUAAGGAGUUGCGAACGGGUGAGUAACGCGUAGGUAACCUACCUCAUAGCGGGGGAUAACUAUUGGAAACGAUAGCUAAUACCGCAUGACAAUAGGGUACACAUGUACCCUAUUUAAAAGGGGCAAAUGCUUCACUAUGAGAUGGACCUGCGUUGUAUUAGCUAGUUGGUAAGGUAACGGCUUACCAAGGCGACGAUACAUAGCCGACCUGAGAGGGUGAUCGGCCACACUGGGACUGAGACACGGCCCAGACUCCUACGGGAGGCAGCAGUAGGGAAUCUUCGGCAAUGGGGGGAACCCUGACCGAGCAACGCCGCGUGAGUGAAGAAGGUUUUCGGAUCGUAAAGCUCUGUUGUUAGAGAAGAACGGUAAUGGGAGUGGAAAAUCCAUUACGUGACGGUAACUAACCAGAAAGGGACGGCUAACUACGUGCCAGCAGCCGCGGUAAUACGUAGGUCCCGAGCGUUGUCCGGAUUUAUUGGGCGUAAAGCGAGCGCAGGCGGUUUGAUAAGUCUGAAGUUAAAGGCUGUGGCUUAACCAUAGUUCGCUUUGGAAACUGUCAAACUUGAGUGCAGAAGGGGAGAGUGGAAUUCCAUGUGUAGCGGUGAAAUGCGUAGAUAUAUGGAGGAACACCGGUGGCGAAAGCGGCUCUCUGGUCUGUAACUGACGCUGAGGCUCGAAAGCGUGGGGAGCAAACAGAAUUAGAUACCCUGGUAGUCC
rnacentral:rRNA from 1 species